UACGUAGGGUGCAAGCGUUAUCCGGAAUUAUUGGGCGUAAAGAGCUCGUAGGCGGUUUGUCGCGUCUGCUGUGAAAACUGGAGGCUCAACCUCCAGCCUGCAGUGGGUACGGGCAGACUAGAGUGCGGUAGGGGAGAUUGGAAUUCCUGGUGUAGCGGUGGAAUGCGCAGAUAUCAGGAGGAACACCGAUGGCGAAGGCAGAUCUCUGGGCCGUAACUGACGCUGAGGAGCGAAAGCAUGGGGAGCGAACAGGA
rnacentral:rRNA from 1 species